GAUGAAGAACGUAGUGAAAUGCGAUAAGUAAUGUGAAUUGCAGAAUUCAGUGAAUCAUCGAAUCUUUGAACGCACCUUGCGCUCUUUGGUAUUCCGAAGAGCAUGCCUGUUUGAGUGUCAUGAAAAUAUCAACCUUGACUUGGGUUUUGUGCUCUAGUCUCGGCUUGGAAUUGGGUGCUUGCCGCUUUUACGAGCGGCUCACCUUAAAUGUAUUAGCUGGAUCUGUCUUUGAGACUUGGUUUGACUUGGCGUAAUAAGUAUUUCGCUAAGGACAUUCUUCGGAGUGGCCUCGUUUCUAGGACGCUUGUCCGCUUUCCAAUACAAGUUCCACCUCGUGGACAUGACUUUUUAUUAUCUGGCCUCAAAUCAGGUAGGACUACCCGCUGAACUUAAGCAUACCAAUAAGCGGAGGA
rnacentral:misc_RNA from 1 species